rnacentral:rRNA from 1 species
UUUGACCGUUACUUUCCAGCUGUGUGAUACCCUUUCAAAGAGUCGGAUUGUUUGGUAAUGCAGUCCAAAAUGGGUGGUAAAUUUCAUCUAAAGCUAAAUAUUGGCGAGAGACCGAUAGCGAACAAGUACCGUGAGGGAAAGAUGAAAAGAACUUUGAAAAGAGAGUUAAACAGUACGUGAAAUUGUCAAAAGGGAAGCGUUUGACACCAGUGUUGUUUA